CGUUGUCCGGAAUUACUGGGCGUAAAGCGUGCGCAGGCGGUUUGCCAAGUCAGAUGUGAAAGCCCCGGGCUUAACCUGGGAAUGGCGUUUGAAACUGGCAGGCUAGAGUUUGGCAGAGGGGGGUGGAAUUCCACGUGUAGCAGUGAAAUGCGUAGAGAUGUGGAGGAACACCGAUGGCGAAGGCAGCCCCCUGGGCCAAAACUGACGCUCAUGCACGAAAGCGUGGGGAGCAAACAGG
rnacentral:rRNA from 1 species